rfam:Collimonas arenae strain Cal35, complete genome.
CCUCCUUAGGGGAGUAGCCGCCUUCGAGUCUUUCGAAGAGCGCAUGUCAACAUACUUGGCGCUGUACCACAUUUACGCCAUGGCAUGCGCGACCGCACGGUUUGGCAAGACCUAUGGUGCUUCCCUUUACCCGGCCGGGCGAAGGCGUUGCUCCAUUCGUCAGUGCCCGGCCCUCAGGAU